AUCACCUGGGGAGGUCCUGUUAAAAUGUAGGUUCUGAUUCUGUAGGUUGAGGGUGGGACCUGAGAUUCUGCAUUUCUAACAAGCUCCCAGGUGAGGCCAA
rnacentral:pre_miRNA from 1 species